CGCGGUAAUACGGAGGGAGCAAGCGUUGUUCGGAAUCACUGGGCGUAAAGCGCGCGUAGGCGGCCGAGUAAGUCGUAUGUGAAAGACCGGGGCUCAACUCCGUGUAUUGCAUGCGAUACUGCCCGGCUGGAGAAAGGUAGAGGCAAGUGGAAUUCCCGGUGUAGCGGUGGAAUGCGUAGAUAUCGGGAAGAACACCUGUGGCGAAGGCGGCUUGCUGGGCCUUUUCUGACGCUGAAGUGCGAAAGCGUGGGGAGCAAACAGGAUUAGAUACCCUGGUAGUCCACGCCGUAAACGAUGGGUACUAGGCGUUGGGAGGAUUUGACCCUCUCAGUGCCGUAGCUAACGCGUUAAGUACCCCGCCUGGGGAGUACGGCCGCAAGGCUGAAACUCAAAGGAAUUGACGGGGGCCCGCACAAGCGGUGGAGCCUGUGGUUUAAUUCGAAGCAACGCGAAGAACCUUACCUGGGCUUGACAUGUCGGUAGUACUCUCCUGGAAACAGGAGGGGACCCUUCGGGGAGCCGUCACAGGUGCUGCAUGGCUGCCGUCAGCUCGUGUCGUGAGAUGUUGGGUUAAGUCCCGCAACGAGCGCAACCCUCGCCCGUAGUUGCUAACAGAUUAUGCUGAGGACUCUACGGGGACUGCCGGUGAUAAACCGGAGGAAGGUGGGGAUGACGUCAAGUCCUCAUGGCCCUUAUGCCCAGGGCGACACACGUGCUACAAUGGCCGGUACAGAGGGCAGCAAUGCCGCGAGGUGGAGCGAAUCCCCAAAAACCGGUCUAAGUUCGGAUUGCAGUCUGCAACUCGACUGCAUGAAGCUGGAAUCGCUAGUAAUCGUGGGUCAGCCAUACCACGGUGAAUACGUUCCCGGGCCUUGUACACACCGCCCGUCA
rnacentral:rRNA from 1 species